CCACCGAGAUCUACACAGAGUAGAUCGUCGGCAGCGUCAGAUGUGUAUAAGAGACAGCUGCACGACAGUGCGAUAAGGGGACUCCGAGUGCGAGGGCAUACAGUCCUCGCUUUUCUGUACCGUAAGGUGGUACAGGAACAAGAGCUGGGCAAGACCGGUGCCAGCCGCCGCGGUAAUACCGGCAGCUCGAGUGAUGACCGCUAUUAUUGGGCCUAAAGCGUCCGUAGCCGGCCGGGCAAGUCCGUCGGGAAAUCCGCACGCCUAACGUGCGGGCGUCCGGCGGAAACUGCCUGGCUUGGGACCGGAAGACCAGAGGGGUACGUCCGGGGUAGGAGUGAAAUCCCGUAAUCCUGGACGGACCACCGGUGGCGAAAGCGCCUCUGGAAGACGGAUCCGACGGUGAGGGACGAAAGCUCGGGUCACGAACCGGAUUAGAUACCCGGGUAGUCCGAGCCGUAAACGAUGUCUGCUAGGUGUGCCACAGGCUACGAGCCUGUGGUGUGCCGUAGGGAAGCCGUGAAGCAGACCGCCUGGGAAGUACGUCCGCAAGGAUGAAACUUAAAGGAAUUGGCGGGGGAGCACUACAACCGGAGGAGCCUGCGGUUUAAUUGGACUCAACGCCGGACAUCUCACCAGCAUCGACAGCAGGAGUGACGGUCAGUGUGAUGAGCUUACCUGACCUGCUGAGAGGAGGUGCAUGGCCGCCGUCAGCUCGUACCGUGAGGCGUCCUGUUAAGUCAGGCAACGAGCGAGACCCGCACUCCUAAUUGCCAGCAAUACCCUUGUGGUAGUUGGGUACAUUAGGAGGACUGCCAGUGCCAAACUGGAGGAAGGAACGGGCAACGGUAGGUCAGUAUGCCCCGAAUGUGCUGGGCGACACGCGGGCUACAAUGGCCGAGACAGUGGGAUGCCACGCCGAAAGGCGACGCUAAUCUCCGAAACUCGGUCGUAGUUCGGAUUGCGGGUUGAAACUCACCCGCAUGAAGCUGGAUUCGGUAGUAAUCGCGCCUCAGAAGGGCGCGGUGAAUACGUCCCUGCUCCUUGCACACACCGCCCGUCAAAGCACCCGAGUGAGGUCCGGAUGAGGCCCCGGUAGGGGUCGAAUCUGGGCUUCGCAAGGGGGCUUAAGUCGUAACAAGGUAGCCGUAGGGGAAUCUGCGGCUG
rnacentral:rRNA from 1 species